CAUGCAGUCUAGUACGAGCUCUCGUACAGUGAAACUGCGAAUGGCUCAUUAAAUCAGUUAUGGUUCAUUUGAUCGUACAGUUUACUUGGAUAACUGUGGUAAUUCUAGAGCUAAUACAUGCGAGAAGCGCCGACCUCGCGGGAGGCGUGCAUUUAUCAGACCAAAAACCGGCCGCGUCUUCGGGCGCGUUCGCCUUGGUGACUCUGGAUAACUUUGCGGAUCGCACGGUCUAGCACCGGCGACGGAUCAUUCAAGUGUCUGCCCUAUCAACUUUCGUCGGUACGGUAUUUGCCUACCGAGGUUCUUACGGGUGACGGGGAAUCAGGGUUCGAUUCCGGAGAGGGAGCCUGAGAAACGGCUACCACAUCCAAGGAAGGCAGCAGGCGCGCAAAUUACCCAUUCCCGACGCGGGGAGGUAGUGACGAAAAAUAACAAUGCAGGACUCGUUCGAGGCCCUGUAAUUGGAAUGAGUACACUUUAAAASCUUUAACCAKAAUCCAUUGKAGGGCAAGUCUGGUGCCAGCAGCCGCGGU
rnacentral:rRNA from 1 species